CGAAAGGACCAUAGCUAAAUAAUAAUUAUUUUUUGUUGAUUAAUAUUAA
rnacentral:rRNA from 1 species